rnacentral:miRNA from 1 species
CCAAAAAAAAAAGUAUAACA